AGCAUGCUGUGUGCUGCUCAGUCAGGAUGAUCAGUCAGGGAGGGCUUCUGAAAGUUGAUGAUUCUUAAGUUACUGUGUUAUGGAAAACAGAAGUGGGAGUGUAGGAAGAAUUUGGUGAGGGAGGACUUUCCUGCCAGGAGCAACAGCUGAUACAGUGUCUUAGAGACAUAGGCAAAGAAGGUUUGUUCAAGGGAACUCCAAAUGAUUCAUAUGGCUAGAAAAAGAUAGGAUGGAGAAAUAAAUGGGGAGCAGUGAAAGGAUGGAAGCAAAGAUUACACAAAGAUCUGAAGACUGAGUAGGAGUCCCUUAGAGGAAAAGGGUGUGGAAAAUGUACCCUGGGGAGAGAAAACAACAUAUGCCCAACCCCGGAGGCGAGGGGGACACAGAGAGCUAGGAUUAAAGCUAAAUCCUCUAAGUCUCCAAAUCCCAGGCUCUUUCUACCACCUGACAGUGUCUACUAAUAACAAUAUGCAAUCUCGAGGAUCAAGGACUUGUGAUUUCCACAUGAACCAGGUUAACAAUAACAGAGCUGGAGUAAGCACAUUCAAGUGAAUUGAGAUGGACUGGAACUCCUUCACUUGUUUAAAGUGAGUUUGUAGUCUUUUUGGACUGUUUGGUCUUGGAAUAAAAGGCUGGAUUUACUCUUGGGGAGCAGCUAAUAAUAUUCUGUGGCUGGAGAAAUUAGGUGGAUAUCAAAAUGGAAGACCCUUUACUGAAAAAAAGAACCUGGUUAAAAAAAGCAUUAGUACUUCUCCUAUUUUCAAUCCAGCACCCUUAGUUCAGACAAUUUUUUUUAGACAUUCCAGUUCAGCACAGUAUCUUUUCAUCCAGUUCUUAUCACUAUCCAGUAGGAGAAGAAAGAAGAAAAGAUUAAUAAACAAAUAAUGCAUAUGUGGCACAUAUUCUCUCUCACCCAUUUUAUCAGCCUUAAAUAAUUUAGGGCAGGAAAACUUUCAUAGGAUUUUCUAAUUCACAAAUGCUCUAAAACACACACCUCAAGAAUGUGCUAGAUUUGCUGUGCAGUCUCUUGCCCCUAUGAUGUAUAAUUUAAAUGAGGACUGUACUUGGUAAGGGAGUAGAGUGAAUGCGCUAUAAGCCAGCUAUUGAUACUUCCCAAAUAGCCACUCUCUGCUUAUUAAAAGAUGAUGAGGCAAACCAGUAUCUUAUAGGAGCCAGAUCUGGUGGGAAAGUAAAUUGAUUCUCUUCCUUCACUUGGAUGGAAGCAAAGGAGUUCUCUUGCAUUCAUCCGAGAAAUAAGACUUUCUUAAUACAAAGAGGAUAUUCUAAUUCAAAACUUUAAAACAAAUAAGAUAGAAAAAUGAGCAUUGAACAAAUAAAACAACUCUUGAAAUCUGGUGUAGCCCAAAUGGCACUGCACUUAGGCCCCAAAAUCUAUCCCAGAUAUGUCACUUACUAGCUUUGUGUCCUUUGGCAAUGUAAUCACGUUAAGCCUCAAACUGUACAAUCCUAACACAGAAUGGGAGGUGCAUCCAAACUCUACCUCCAUUACUAUUUUGUUAGGAGGAUAAAAUGAGAUAAUGCACAUGAAAUCACUCUGUAAAGCCUUGAGCACUGUGCUGAUGUAAGACAUUAUUUUUGUACUGAUACCUAUUAUGAGAAAAAUAAAAGAUUAAUUCAAGAUUA